CCCAAACUUGAUAUGCAGCAGGAGGGAGUGGUGCUACUGGUAUUACCUCCAACCUAGGUGCCAUUGGUAUUACCUCCAACCUAGGGCAAGCAUGGAUUAAUCCACACUCAUCAACAGGGAGCAAGGCACCUUUUCCCUUUCACUGAACUCAGGAAGCAGACAUUGCUGCACCAGGCCCUGGGGAGCUGGGAGCCGGGCAUGAGGACUCACAGGUAAUCGUAGAUGGGCUGUGAGUCAUUCCUGCCCUGGAAACCGACCAGCUUCUGCUCAUCAGCUACCAUUACAAGAGCUGCAGCUCCUGUUAGAUGUGAGUGGUUUCGCUGCCUGCUGGUUGCUGUCCAUCCAGUUGGAAGUCACCGGUACUCCUCUUUCACAGGUGAUUUGCCUAGCCAACAGAAGCUCAGGAAGAGCCAUGCAGCCUGGGAUUUCCCCACAUUUCACACUAAUGAGUCCUGACUGGUACAAGUUGAGAGGGAGGAGAAUAAUCCUGGUACAAGCAGCUGUCGUUGCCCACUGUGGCAAGCUGGGCACUGGGGCUUGGCUGUGCUUCCAGGCAGCGCAUCAGGGAUAAGUGGGAGCAGCAGCAAUGCCCCACAGCGAUGCCCCACAGGGGAGAGCACUGCAACAAGGCAGCCUUGGGGGAUUUGGAGGGCAUCACAACCCUCCAAAUCUCAGGCUCCAGCAAAGGGAGGAUGGAUUUAUAAGCAUGUGUAAGCCUCAACUCCAGCCCACCAACACUCUCUCCCCAAGGGAGGGCAUACAGCUUCCCCUAGAGCAUUGAAAACAUGGAGGGAAAUACCCUUCAGGAACUGCCCAGAUUUCAUACUUGGAAUUCAGACCACCAGUCUUGUGAUUCCUGGAGAUCUGAUUCAUACUUUUUGAACAUGUGGGUUUGGCAAUCCUGUGCUUACACUUACAGCCAUUUCCCAACCCCUUAUUUUCCCCAGAGGUGUUCUUACUUUUCCCUCUUUUUACUCUUGUACACAUGAAAUAAACUGCUUGGGGGUUAGGGGGGUUGUUACUGA
rnacentral:lncRNA from 1 species